AACGGCCAUACCAUGCUGAAUAUACCGGUUCUCGUUAGAUCAUUGGGCGCGGUCAGUACUUCGGUGGGUGACCACCUGGGAACACUGCGUGUCGUU